GCGGGCGCGUAACGUCCCGACCCUGUGCGGGGGGGCGGAGGGACUGCGCAUGCGCGGAGCGCGGAGAUGGGUGAGAAGCCCAAAGAGCAGGCACUACGUGUUGAUACCUUCAACAGCACCAUUUCAGAGAGGAAGAAAUCCAAACCCAAACGGGUUUUCAGUGCUGAAUUCUCCCCUCCCUGACCCUGCAAAGAAACCUCAGGCAGGGUCGCUGCUGUCACAUCUUGCAGGCAGGGUGGCCAGGAGGGACAUCGAGGGACUGCAAACAAAGCCAUGGGACUCUGUUGACAGAAGAGCUGGUUGCAAGGAGUGCUCGAAGGGCUCCAUUUACACAGCAGCCAGCUGGGAGAGGAGCACAAAGACCAGCUGGUGACACAAAACCAAGGUCUGGACCAUCCCAACCCUUUUGAAAGGCGUUGGGGGGAGACUGCUCCCAGUUGUAACAUGCGACCACACUGGGGCGAUGCCACUGUAACUGGAUCCCCAUGAGUGAAGGUUUUAAAGAACAGAGACCCAGGCUAGAGAGCAGAGAGAGCACACCCUUCCUCUCAGCAGGCCACAGGGGCCUUGAUGGAAAGACCCAUCUUACGUGGCAGCAACCAACACUGUCCUCGUCACGGCAGAAGCAACGGGUGUUUGUGCCAGGCGCCGGUGACAACACGAUGAGCAUCCAGUGGCGAGACAUGGACACUCAUCCCUGCGUGCUGCCCUUCCCAGAGGGAUAAACUGCUGAGGAAGAGGAAGGCUUCAGCUGCUCUCCAUUGCCUGAUGGCCCUCAGCCUUCAGGCCACACAGGGUCUGGUGCACCACAAGGUGUGAUUUAAAUUACUCAUGCCUGCGCAGUGGGUGUAGCUGAGCACCCAACUAUCUGCGGGCAUCUCGGCCAACCCCGCAGUUAAAACAUUUGGGCAUUUCUUAUCAGCACUUGGAGAAGAUUAAAAUGCCAGUCCAUAUAUUACUGAGGGAGCAGGUUAUAAACCCAUCAGCUUGAACACCAUGUUCAUGUUGCAAAAGAAAAAAAAAAAAAGCAAGAACAGGACAGAUCAAAAGAGAGCCAUUAAAGGCGUGAGAAAAUGGUGCUGCCAUAUAAGGAGCUAAUAAAGUUAGCAGCUCUCCAGUUUGGAGGAAAAAAAAAAGGGCAGGAGGAUCAGAAAACAUCCUUGGGGUCCACACAAACAGCCAGACAGCCUCGCUUGGAGGAGGAAAGGUCAAUAAAUAGAAGUGAGCAGAAAACGUUUCAAAAUGCAAGUUUGUACAUUUUUAACACAGCGCUUUACCCAAGUGGUGGAGCUCGCUGCCACGUGUCACCAGGACAGCUUGCCAAACGAUUGAAAAAGCAAAGAUUAGAUACUGACCAAGGACAGCAACCAGAGCUAUACUGCUAGGACUGUAACUUCCUAUCCUGGGUUCUGACUUAGCAACAGCUCCAGGUUCUGUGCUCACAGCAGCAGGAGGUGGGGACAGGAGACCCCCAUAGCUGGGGUCAUCAACCAGCUCCAUCCACGAGGGACUCACAUGGAUUAGAGCAGUGGUGUUAACAGCACAGAAUGAUUAUCCCCACCAGUGUCCAGUGUGCGUCCAGCCUGCUUAGCUUUCUACGGGAAACCAGCAGGUUAUCCAGACAGGAGCCCUCAGACAUCACCACAAACACUCAGAGCGUUUCUUUGUUCACAUUGGCCAGUUCCAGCCACCAUCUUGUCACUGUAACAUGUAUAACAUAUAACCUGCCUUUCCUGCUCAUUCACUGUAUUUAUUAAAAUGACAGUACGGCAGAUGAAUAUCAAAUUGCCAGCAAGGCUUUUAUUCCAUCUUUAAGCCAGCCUGAAUUACAGGCCUGAUUUUAUUGCUCACGUUUCACGCAAUGGAGAAUUUUCUCCAAGAAGGAAAUGGUGCUUUUUGAUAUUUGGGCUCAUCUGUUGCCAAGACAGAGGAUACCAGCUGAUAUGUUCAAAGCUGAUGAUGCUUUGAACAUGAAGCCUGGUUCUGAAUCCUAAGCAACACAAAGUGCAGGAUUUGUAUUAAUAAAGACAUUGAUUUUUGGUUCUUUGAGGAGA